rnacentral:rRNA from 1 species
AGAGUUUGAUCAUGGCUCAGAACGUACGCUGGCGGCACGCCUAACACAUGCAAGUCGAACGAAGUAGCAAUACUUAGUGGCAGACGGGUGAGUAACAUGUAGGUAUCUUCCCUUUGGUGAGGAAUAACACGAGGAAACUUGUGCUAAUACCUCAUAAGUCUUUACGGAGAAAGCUUUAUGCGCCAUUGGAUGAGCCUGCACUUGAUUAGUUUGUUGGUGGGGUAAUGGCCUACCAAGACUGUGAUCAAUAGCUGAUUUGAGAGGAUGAUCAGCCACAUUGGGACUGAGACACGGCCCAGACUCCUACGGGAGGCAGCAGUGGGGAAUCUUGCACAAUGGGGGAAACCCUGAUGCAGCGAUGCCGCGUGAGUGAAGAAGGCCCUUGGGUUGUAAAGCUCUUUCGUCGGGGAAGAAAAUGACUGUACCCGAAUAAGAAGGUCCGGCUAACUUCGUGCCAGCAGCCGCGGUAAUACGAAGGGACCUAGCGUAGUUCGGAAUUACUGGGCUUAAAGAGUUCGUAGGUGGUUAAAAAAGUUGGUGGUGAAAUCCCAGAGCUUAACUCUGGAACUGCCAUCAAAACUUUUUAGCUAGAGUAUGAUAGAGGAAAGCAGAAUUUCUAGUGUAGAGGUGAAAUUCGUAGAUAUUAGAAAGAAUACCAAUUGCGAAGGCAGCUUUCUGGAUCAUUACUGACACUGAGGAACGAAAGCAUGGGUAGCGAAGAGGAUUAGAUACCCUCGUAGUCCAUGCCGUAAACGAUGUGUGUUAGACGUUGGAAAUUUAUUUUCAGUGUCGCAGCGAAAGCGAUAAACACACCGCCUGGGGAGUACGACCGCAAGGUUAAAACUCAAAUGAAUUGACGGGGACCCGCACAAGUAGUGGAGCAUGUGGUUUAAUUCGAAGAUACGCGCAGAACCUUACCAACACUUGACAUGUUCGUCGCGACUUUAAGAGAUUAAAGUUUUCGGUUCGGCCGGACGAAACACAGGUGCUGCAUGGCUGUCGUCAGCUCGUGUCGUGAGAUGUUGGGUUAAGUCCCGCAACGAGCGCAACCCUCACUUUUAGUUGCCAUCAUUAAGUUGGGCACUCUGAAAGAACUGCCAGUGAUAAGCUGGAGGAAGGUGGGGAUGACGUCAAGUCCUCAUGGCCCUUACGUGUUGGGCUACACACGUGCUACAAUGGCAUUUACAAUAGGAAGCAAAACGGCGACGUUAAGCAAAUCCUAAAAAAAUGCCUCAGUUCGGAUUGCACUCUGCAACUCGAGUGCAUGAAGCUGGAAUUACUAGUAAUCGUGGAUCAGCGUGCCACGGUGAAUGCGUUCCCGGGUCUUGUACACACCGCCCGUCACACCAUGGGAGUUGGUUCUACCUUAAGGCAAGGUUUAAAACCCUUGACCACGGUAUAGUCAGCGACUGGGGUGAAGUCGUAACAAGGUAGCCGUAGGGGAACCUGCGGCUG